rnacentral:rRNA from 1 species
GACGAACGCUGGCGGCGUGCUUAACACAUGCAAGUCGAACGGAAAGGCCCUGCUUUUGUGGGGUGCUCGAUUGGCGAACGGGUGAGUAACACGUGAGUAACCUGCCCUUGACUUUGGGAUAACUUCAGGAAACUGGGGCUAAUACCGGAUAGGAGCUCCUGCUGCAUGGGGGGGGUUGGAAAGUUUCGGCGGUUGGGGAUGGACUCGCGGCUUAUCAGCUUGUUGGUGGGGUAGGUGCUUACCAAGGCUUUGACGGGUAGCCGGCCUGGGAGGGUGACCGGCCACAUUGGGACUGCGGUACGGACCAGACUGCUACGGGAGGCAGCAGUGGGGAAUAUUGCACAAUGGGCGGAAGCCUGAUGCAGCGACGCUGCGUGCGGGAUGACGUCCUUCUGGUUGUAAACCGCUUUCGCCUGUGACGAAGCGUGAGUGACGGUAAUGGGUAAAGAAGCACCGGCUAACUACGUG